rnacentral:hammerhead_ribozyme from 17 species
CAAGCGUCUGGGGUAAGGAGUUGCUGCCAUCAACCCCACUGAUGAGUCUAGACAGUGACUCCGAGACGAAACGCAAC